rnacentral:rRNA from 3 species
UUUGACCUCGGAUCAGGUAGGAAUACCCGCUGAACUUAAGC